AAUAGCCUAACGGCUGAACCAGCAACUUGGAAGAAUGUAUAGCUAAGCUAAAUGUUUUUUUUUACAUUUUUUGUAAGAAACAUAUUCGAUUUACUCGUAUAAAGUUCUAGGUAGAAUUAUGAUAAUGACAUUAUCUAUCUAUAAGUCUUGACCAACAUGCGUGCCAGCAGUCGCGGCAAGACGCUAAAGACUAGUGUUAUUCAUUUUAAUAGGUUUAAAGGGUACCUAGACGGUAAAUUAAGCCUUAAUCGGUACUAAUUUAACUAGAGUUAAAUGUAAGGGUGCAUUAACGUACUAUUGAGUGUAGAGAUGAAAUUCUGUCAUACCAGAUUAUUGGCACGGGUUUAGGCGAAAGCAUCACUUUAUGUAAUAACUGACGUUGAGGGACGAAGGCUUUGUAUCGCUAAAAGGAUUAGAUACCCUCGUAGUCUAAGCAGACAAUGAUGAAUGUCAUAGGUUAAAUAUUGUUUAGUCUAUAAAUGAAAGUGUAAGCAUUCCACCUCAAGAGUAAUUUGGCAACAUUGGAAUUGAAAUCAUUAGACCGUUUCUGAAACCAGUAGUGAAGUAUGUUGUUUAAUUAGAUGGUCCACAAAAAACCUUACCACAACUUGAAUAUUUUACAAGCGUUGCACGGCUGUCUUCAGUUAAUGUCGUGAGAUUUUGGUUAGUUCCAUUAAUUAACGUAAACCCUUGCUUUAUUUUUAUAUAAAGUAGUUCGCCGCUAUAUUGGUUAGAUAAAAGGGAG
rnacentral:rRNA from 1 species